rnacentral:tRNA from 1 species
UGGAAGUAUGGCAGAGCGGCCGAAUGCACUGGUCUUGAAAACCAGCGAGGGUCACACCUCCGGGGGUUCAAAUCCCCCUGCUUCCGCAGA